GGACCCUGAAUCACUCUACCCAUUUCCUGGGCCCUGGACCCUGAAUCGCUCUACCCAUCUCCUGGGCCCUGGACCCUGAAUCACUCUACCCAUCUCCUGGGCCCUGGACCCUGAAUCACUCUACCCAUCUCCUGGGCCCUGACCCAUGAAUCGCUCUACCCAUCUCCUGGGCCCUGGACCCUGAAUCACUCUACCCAUCUCCUGGGCCCUGGACCCUGAAUCGCUCUACCCAUUUCCUGGGCCCUGGACCCUGAAUCGCUCUACCCAUCUCCUGGGCCCUGGACCCUGAAUCACUCUACCCAUCUCCUGGGCCCUGGACCCUGAAUCACUCUACCCAUCUCCUGGGCCCUGACCCAUGAAUCGCUCUACCCAUCUCCAGGGCCCUGGACCUUGAAUCACUCUACCCAUCUCCUGGGCCCUGGACCCUGAAUCACUCUACCCAUCUCCUGGCUCUGGACCCUGAAUCACUCUACCCAUCUCCUGGGCCCUGACCCAUGAAUCACUCUACCCAUCUCCUGGGCCCUGGACCCUGAAUCACUCUACCCAUCUCCUGGGCCCUGGACCCUGAAUCACUCUAACCAGCUCCUGGGCCCUGGACCCUGAAUCACACCUCUCUCAUCUCCCCGUGCCCUGUUUUAAAAUAUUUCUAUUUUACCAGGUAAGGCCCACUGGGCUUCACAGCGUCUUUUUUCAGAAGCGACCUGGUCACAAAUUGAAGCUUAAUGAAGCGGCUUAUCGCGUGGAAAAUUCAUAGCAGCCAAACACUCUGAACGCACGUUUCUAAAUGUGGAGGGAAAAACCGGAGGACCCGGAGAAAACGUGAUCACGGGGAGCGAGAGAGAGAGAGACGCAAACUCCAGAUAUACAGCAGUAGGCGUCAGGGUCGGGAUUUAACCCGUGACCUCCUGUAGACCAGGCGAGGUAGUUAACAUCUCCUAGCCACCGUGAUGAUGAUGAGCGAGAGACACGCAAACUCCAAAUAUACAGCAGCAGGCGUCAGGGUCGGGAUCGAACCCACGACCUCCUGUAGACCAGGCGAGGUAGUUAACAUCUCCUAGCCACCGUGAUGAUGAUGAGAGAGAGACACGCAAACUCCAAAUAUACAGCAGCAGGCGUCAGGGUCGGGAUUUAACCCACGACCUCCUGUAGACCAGGCGAGGUAGUUAACAUCUCCUAGCCGCCGUGGGGCCCACAUGGCUGGCAGUCACCAUCGAUUUGUGUGCCAUCGUCGGACACGGCGAGGGUUGGGGUUGUCGUUCAGGGAGCAGAUUUAGCGUCGAGUUGUUGGGUUAGAUGCUCGGGUUAGGUUCAGGGUAGAGUUAGGAUCAAAGUUUAGGGCUUAGGAUUGUGAGGGUUAGGUUUGGGGGGGGGGGGUGAGCAGCUUUAGGAUAGUGGCAGGACCCAUAGGUUUUAUGAUUCUGUGCGUAGAUUUUAAUCUUUAGGGGGCGAUCUGCCCACCGAUGUAAUCAUCGCAAUGAUUCCAGCAACAGCUGUCGUUCCCUCGGUUUCUCUCGGAUGGCGGGCAGACUCGGACUGAUGGUCUGCCUGACUAGUGUGGUGAUGUCUGGGAUAUGUGGGAGUCUGUUUAGCCGCGUGUGUGUGUGUGUCCAACUGUGAGUCCAAGCGUGGUGUAGUGGAUCUGUCUUAACCAGCGGUCGGGAACCUAUGGCUCGCGAGCCAUAUAUGGCUCUUUCGGUGACGGCAUAUGGCUGCUCCUAGACAAUUUUGAGUUGAAAAAAAAUAAACCAAAAAAUCAGUUUGGAACUGAUUUUUAAAUACUUGUGAUAUUGCUUAAUAAUAUUGUGUCGUUUUAAAGUAAACAGAAAUUAGUUUUGAAGAUAAAUUUCACGGGUCACGGGGCCUCAACGCCUGCACGAAGCUCAACCUCACCACGUACGAACCAGACUACAAGGCCAUCAGCAAAACCACGCAGCACCAGAAGUCGCAUUAAAAGACAUUUAAUUUAUUAUACGUUAAAAUUACUAUAUGGCUCUCAAUGCAAUAUAUUUAGAAAAAUUUGGCUUUUAUGGCUCUCCCAGUCAAAAAGGUUCCCGACCCCUGGUCUUAACUGUGUGUCUGCGUAACUCUGCGAGUCUGAAUAACUGUGUGAGUCUUAUUCUAGGGCUUUUUCGGUAAAGUCACGUAGGUAAAAACAUUAAAAAGUAAAAUAAAAGAAAAAUCACGACGUUUCGGAGGCAACACAAGCAGCUUCCGUCUUCAGGUGGUACCGUCACAGCCACGACAACUGUAUCAAGUAAAUGAGAGAUUGCAGAAGCUACCACUCCGUUUAUAUAAUGGUUGGAGAGGGUGGUGGGGCAAGGGCCGCAUACUUUUUAUUAAUAUGGUAAGGUGAGGCUUAAGACUAAGAAUAGACUGCAUAACAAAGGCUGAGCCUUUGUUAUGGAGAGGUGCGGUUUGUGUGUAUAAAUAUACAAACACAGACAUAUAAUUUCAACCGUGAUGACGGUUACAAACUGAGUAAUCAUUGGAAAGAUGUGAUUAACCAUGCAAAAAAGAUUUAUCGACACUUAUUUGCCAAUCUUAUUUGACAGACAACCAUCACAGUUUUACCAUGUCUAGUGGUGGUCUCCCUGUCACAGGUUGAGUCACAAACCGUGGCUCAGCCUUUGUUAUGCAGUCUAUUCUUAGUCUUAAGCCUCACCUUGCCAUAUUAAUAAAAGUAUGCGGCCCUUGCCCCACCACCCUCUCCAACCAUUAUAUACACGGAGUGGUAGCUUCUGCAAUCUCUCAUUUGCUUGAUACAGCUGUCGUCGCUGUGACGGUACCACCUCAAGACGGAAGCUGCUUGUGUUGCCUCCGAAACGUCGUGAUUUUAUUUUACUUUUUAAUGUUUUUACCUACGUGACUUUACCGAAAGAGCCUUAGAAUAUGAAUCGUUGCAGUCACGAAAGCUUCAAAUCUAGAAUGUACGAGUCUUAACUGCGCGGUGUCGGCAAUCGGUGUGGCCUGUGUGGUUAUUCGCCUCGUUCGAUGCGUGCGGAGCGGCCGUGUCGCGCUAUGAACCCGGCCACACGAUUUCAAAUCCCGCUCAUUGGCGACGGUUAUUUGAUCUGGUCCUGCGCCUCCCCCCCCCUAGGUCGACUCGGCCUCAAAUGAGUACCUGGUGCGGUGUGUAAGCAUCACCACUGGGGAGACAAAGGCGGCCGGGCGUGGUGCUGGCCACCCACCCCCCUCGUGUGCCACCGUGCCUGGUCGUAGUGUGGGUCUGUGCGACCCAAUUUGCAUUCUGACAUUUUCUGCUGAAAUAAAGUUUACAGUCGCUUA